UUUGAAGGCUGACUUUCCAAGAAGCCAAACACUGCUUGAAUUCAUAGAAAAUGGAACAACGUGAGACUUUCUCCAUCUUUCUCUGUGAGAAGGAACGUGCUAAGCCUGCUAUCGUGCAACACAUGUGCAGUCCAGGUACAACACUGCACAGGGAUCACCUGCAUGGGGAAACACCAACCUGACCACACCACAGUAAAGGAUAGAGCAGAUUUGGGCCUUUGSGUGAAAUCUGGACCCAGGCCAGUGCUUCAGGCCAAGCAGCAGUGAGCGUGGAUACAACA